UCUGUAGCUCAGCUGGAUAGAGCACUGGCCUCCGACGCCAGGUGCCGGGGGUUCGAAUCCCUUCAGGCG
rnacentral:tRNA from 1 species